rnacentral:rRNA from 1 species
UUUUGAGAAUGGGGGCAACCCUGAUCCCGUCAUCCCGCGUGUGCGAUGAAGGCCUUCGGGUUGUAAAGCACUUUUCGCAGGGAAGAAAAGGCGCCGGAUAAUACCUGGCGCCGCUGACGGUACCUGCAGAAUAAGCCCCCGCUAACUUCGUGCCAGCAGCCGCGGUAAUACGUAGGGUGCAAGCGUUAAUCGGAAAUACUGGGCGUAAAGCGUGCGCAGGCGGUUCGGAAAGAAAGAUGUGAAAUCCCAGGGCUUAACCUUGGAACUGCAUUUUUAACUGCCGGGCUAGAGUAUGUCAGAGGGGGGUAGGAUUCCACGUGUAGCAGUGAAAUGCGUAGAGAUGUGGAGGAAUACCGAUGGCGAAGGCAGCCCCCUGGGAUAAUACUGACGCUCAUGCACGAAAGCGUGGGGAGCAAAC